rnacentral:rRNA from 1 species
UACGUAGGCAGCAAGCGUUGUUCGGAGUUACUGGGCGUAAAGAGCGCGCAGGCGGUCGUUCAAGUCGAGUGUGAAAGCCCCCGGCUCAACUGGGGAGGGUCAUUCGAUACUGAUCGACUCGAAGGCAGGAGAGGGUAGUGGAAUUCCCGGUGUAGUGGUGAAAUGCGUAGAUAUCGGGAGGAACACCAGUGGCGAAGGCGACUACCUGGCCUGUUCUUGACGCUGAGGCGCGAAAGCUAGGGAGCA